GACGAACGCUGGCGGCGUGCCUAAUACAUGCAAGUCGAGCGGUCCCUUCGGGGAUAGCGGCGGACGGGUGAGUAACACGUAGGCAACCUGCCUGUAAGACCGGAAUAACUAUCGGAAACGAUAGCUAAGACCGGAUAGCUGGUUUUCUCGCAUGAGAGAAUCAUGAAACACGGGGCAACCUGUGGCUUACAGAUGGGCCUGCGGCGCAUUAGCUAGUUGGUAGGGUAACGGCCUACCAAGGCGACGAUGCGUAGCCGAACUGAGAGGGUGACCGGCCACACUCGGACUGAGACACGGCCCAGACUCCUACGGGAGGCAGCAGUAGGGAAUCUUCCGCAAUGGACGCAAGACUGACGGAGCAACGCCGCGUGAGUGAUGAAGGUCUUCGGAUCGUAAAGCUCUGUUGCCCUAGACGAACAGCAAGGAGAGUAACUGCUCUUUGUGUGACGGUAUAGGAGAAGAAAGCCCCGGCUAACUACGUGCCAGCCGCCGCGGUAA
rnacentral:rRNA from 1 species